CACUCCACAAGCAAGACGGUGACCAUGCCAGUGAUGCCUCGCUUCUACUCCACUACGCCCAUGCCCCGCCUCCUCCGCCGCCUCUCCUCCACCUCCACCUCCACCUCGGGGCCCUCACGCUGCUGGGAUCCCAGCGCCGCCCUCGCCGCGGCCACAGAGCGGGUCCGCGCCGGGACGCUCAGCCCGGCAGACGCACGCCACCUGUUCGACGAAUUGCUGCAGCGGCCAACCCCGGUCCCUGGUCAAGCCCUGAACGGCUUCCUCGCCGCCCUUGCCCGCGCUCCGGCCUCCGCCGCCUGCGGAGACAGCCCCGCCCUCGCCGUGUCUCUCUUCAACCGCCUGUGCCGAGAAGCCAGCCCGCAUGCGUCGCCUCUUACAGUCCACACCUACAGCAUCCUCAUGGACUGCUGCUGCCGCGCGCGUCGCCCUGACCUGGGGCUUGCCUUCUUCGGCCGCCUCCUCAGGACGGGCCUGAGGACAGACGGCGUCGACGCAUACGCCCUCAUCAAGUGCUUCUGCCUCGCAAAACGGACAGACGAGGCUGUCAGCGUGCUGCUCCAUAGGUUGUCUGAACUCGGCUGUGUGCCUGAUGCCUUAUCAUACUCCGUCGUUCUGAAGGUCUUAUGCGAUGAUAGCAGGAGCCAGCGAGCGCUCGACCUGCUCCGGAUGAUGUCGAAAGAAGGAGGUGUCUGCGCCCCCAACGUGGUGCCAUAUAGCACGGUCAUCCACGGCUUCUGCAAGGAAGGCAAAGUAAGCAAGGCAUGCGAUCUGUUCAACAAAAUGGGGCAGCAAGGAGUUAAGCCUAAUGUGGUGACAUAUACCUCGAUAAUUGAUGCGCUGUGCAAGGCCAGAGCAAUGGACAAGGCAGAGUCAUUCCUUCGGCAUAUGGUCGAUAAUGAUGUUCGACCCAACAACGUGACAUAUAAGUGUAUCAUCCAGGGAUAUUCCUCUUUGGGCUUGUGGAAUGAGGCAGUAAAAAUAUUCAGAGAAAUGACAAGCCGGGGUCUUAUGCUAGAUGAUGUUACUCGCAACUCAUUCGUGGCCUCCCUUUGCAACCAUGGAAGAAGCAAGGAAGCUGCGGAGAUUGCCCAUCAGAUGAUUGAAAGUGAAACUACAGUGAGCAACUGAGCAUUUCCACAUACGGUAUAAUUCUUGGAGAACUUUGUAGGAAUAAUUGCACUGAGGAAGCAAUCAUACUGUUCCACAAAUUAGGUGCAGUGGAUGUGAAGUUCGAUAUUACAAUAUUCAAUACCAUGAUUGAUGCAAUGUACAGGGUUCAAAGAAGAGAAGAAGCUAACAUUUUGUUUGCUGCAAUAUCUGCCAAUGGAUUGGUACCUAAUGCUUCUACUUACAGAAUAAUGAUGACAAAUCUUUUAAAAGAAGGAUCAAUGGAAGAAGCUGAUCAUAUGUUUUCAUCAAUGGAGGCGAGUGGUGAUGCUCCCAGCUCCGUUCUGUUAAAUGAUAUCAUCAGAAUGUUGCUAGAAAAAGGUGAGAUAGUCAAGGCUGGAAAUUAUUUGUCUAAAGUUGAUGGGAAGAGCAUUUCACUUGAAAAUUCAACUGGUUUGUUGAUGAUGCAUCUAUUUUCAAGGGAAGGCAAAUAUCAUGAGCAAAUAAAAUCACUCCCUGCAAGGUAUCGAUUUUUCGGAGGAGUCAGACACAGUUGAAUAGUUGAUUCAUUGGAUGUGUAUAACUCCUUGGAAGGUACAGUUGAUUUAUUCCAUUGCCAUCUGGGUCUCUUGCUGGUAUUGUAAAUGCAAAUUAGUUGCUUGUGGAAAACUGGUCAUUCAUUUUUCAUUCAGUUCAUAUCUGUGUAUCUUUUAAGCUUCUUUGGGUGUGGAAAGGUGAACCACAUAGUCUAGCAGAACUGGUUGCAUUUAGGGAUAAUGGCUUCUGAUUGAACAGGGAAGGUAUAGAUAUGUGCUCUUUCCACAAGAAGCCCAAUAAACACCAAUUCUAGCUUUUCUAGCAUGGUUUGUUCCAACCACCCGAGAUUUUAUAAUCUCUCUAAAACAGUCACUUUCCUUGAUAUGAAUGCAUUUUUAGCAGAUAUCAUUCUCAGUGAUGUGCUAAGGGUAGACUCACUUUUAGUUUGAGGAAUUUCUGAUAAUGUCAGGGCAAAUGGGUCCCUAAAAAAGGGAUGUUUGAGAUUGCUGAUGCUAUGUUCAUUUAGUGGAUAUUCGAGCUCAUGUCGGAGUCUCAUAGUGUAAGCUGUCAGUAGCACUGAUGGAGAUUGUUGAAUACACUGCCGGCGAUGAGCGGUGUCUUUGGGAGAUUGCAGGCUGACAGGGCCUCUCUUCCUUGACUGCCAUGGCCCUUGGAGCUUAGUUGUUUGGCUGUAGUCCUGUCUGGUCGUUUUUUUAAUGAUAAACAGGCGCGAAUGUAGUCUAAGAACAAUAGUGUGGCAUGUGUAGCGUGUGUGACUGGGUGCUGUAUGGGUUCUUGUCCCAUUUCUUCUUCUUAAUGUAAUGAUACGCAGAUCUCCCGCGUGCGAGAAAAAAGAGAUUGUUGAAUACAGGUGAUAAAAGUAUUGCCAGUAUGUUAUCUUUCUGUUAUUGAGAGCACACUUCAUUGAAGAUUCAACUGCUUUCCUGCUCCUCGUAAUGUAGGGAAAGGUAUAGCCAAGAAUUCACCGGUGCGAGUUUUCGCUUAAGUCCACAAGGCACCAACACCAUUUUGGUGACAGAGGAGAAGGACCUAAAGCAUUUGCUUGACGAGAAAUUCUUGUUCCUAAGCACAUGUACAGUCCUGUCCAGUCCUGUUUGGUUUUGGUGCCCUAAAUGCUCCACCGCUGCGACUUCUACUUUCUCUUUUACAACUUGAAAGGCAGUUGUUUUACAGCAUAGACCAGGGAUCAGAAUGAGAGCAAAGGCAGAGGAGCGGCACAGACGAUGAUGUAAUUGUUGGAAAUAUAGUGCAACAGAGCUUUAUUGCAGUGACAUUUACACUAUAUUUUCCUAAGGAAAUUGUCAGGAUGGUACUGUCAGAUGUAAAUGGAAUACAAUGUCUGAAACCUUGUUUCAGUACAGUUUGGUUGUCAACAUUCAGAAACAGAGUUUCAGGUCUGUGCAAACGGGUGAGUCGAGGUCUGACCCUGGUGUCAACUGAUCCCGUUUCUAGCCGGACUGAAUUCUGGUAUGUUUGAUUGAUACAAACUUACAAAGUGAAGUCCAUCUCAUCAACGGUACCACGGCUGCCGCACGAAUUCUCCGGUGGAUAAACUUGCACAAGUAGUCGCCGCAGGAGGAGUGCGUGGGAGAAACUCCAGGGGGCGGAUCCUGAAGUUUAGGCAGUUCGUUGGUUUAGGGUUGAUUGCUGAUUCGUGCCUAUAAAAGGGAGACGUCCCAGAUAGGAAGACACACAGAAAAAGCAUUCACCUGAGUUCUUCUCUGUUUCGUCGCCGGAGCCUCGCCAUCCCUUUCCUGUUGUGCUGCAGGACGGGGAGAGCAGUAAUCUCCGUUCCUUCUCCGGCUUGCUGACCUGCACGGGUGCCGGAGCAAUCAAGGUUCUGGGAAGUGCCUCUGCACGCUGCUCGCCGAUCUGCAUCGCCACUUCCGCUUCUCCAGCUUCGUCAGGCUUCCACUUCAACACCUUCGUUUCAGUCAAGAUUUUGCUGGACUGGCAUUAAUGGGGUUGGCAACACUCUGCUUGGGCUCUGGGACAAGUUUGUGUUUGUUACGGUUCACUGAUGAUCUUAAUCUGGUUUGGGGAAUUCUGAGAAUUGCUUCAGGCUUUAUUUGAUACCAACUGGAGUGACUGUUAAUACUCCUUUGAUUUGCUCUUCACAUGCAUCACCAAGAUUCUAUGUAGACAUUUUUGUUUUCCUUGUUAUACUCCACCAAGAAUGCUGUCUGAGCCUUUACUCCCUUCGUCCCACAAUAUAAAAGCGUUUUUGUGUCAAAAACGCUCUUAUAUUAUACGUAUAGGACAGAGGGCACUAGUGUAAAAAACGCUCUUAUAUUAUAGGACGAAGGGAGUAGAACUAUUCCUGUUAAGACUAGCUCCCUGGAAAUUAAGACAAGACACAAUCCCUACAUACUCAAUGGUAGCUGAAACUUUUGCAUUCUACUACUGUACUAGUUAAAUUGGCCCCUCUUUUAAACUUUUGUAUGCCUUGUACAUGGAUUGCAAAUUUUAGUAAAAUAUUCUUUGCUUAAGAGAUUUUUGUAGGCUCUGUUCUUCUCCACUGGGAGGAAUUGGUAAGUCUGUGUGAUUUUGGACAAUUUGAUGGUAGUCUAUGUCUUUUCUUGAGUUCUUUUUUUUGGUGUUUGUGUACUUUUUUUUUUUGGCGGGGCUACUGUUUUUUUAGGCCAAGUGUUUGUGUAUUGUUGCUUGGCGUAUCGAUUUCUUGGGCCAAAAGGAUACAUGGGUGUGGCAGAGAGUAGGUACCACCGCAUUGCCUCCGGGAGAAUAAUAAUAAAAUUUUAAUUGUCUAAAAAAAUCAAAAUAAAAGGAAUGGGUGAAGGUCGCUGACGUGUGGGCCUCUGCCGGCUAUCCACCACGCACCUGACUGGUUGAUUCCUACGGUUUGUCACAGGCUCACAGCCGGAGCGAGCUCGCCGGCGCCUGUCCAGUCCACGCCCAUGGCGACUCCGACCACGAGCCGUCUCCACCACUACCUCCUCCCCGCCCUUCCAUCUCGCCCACCUCGCACCUCGUCCUCCUCAGCCCCCUCAGUCCAGGGACCCAGCCGCCGGCCUACCUCCCGGCUGUACUGCUCAUCGCCGCCGGUGGGAGCGCCGCCGUCAGGGAAGGGCGGCGAGUACCGGCCCUCCUUAGCCGACGACUUCCUCCUCGCCUUCUUCCGGGCCAAGAUGGUGGAGCUGUAGGAGGUUGGGUGGGAUUCUCAAAAGCCUGGAUACGAAGGGCUGAUCGAAGUUGCGAAUCGCCUCAUGAUCAAGGGGAAGAGUGCUUCGGAGACUGAGCAAUCAGCUGUCCGAGUACUCCAGGCACUGUUCCCCCCUCUGUUGCUGGUCCUUUUCAAAGCUCUUUUAGCACCAAUUGCUAAUGGCCAACUUGCAUCCAUGAUGGUAGGUGAGUUCAUUGCAAGUCAGACAUUUUAGGCAGUGCAUGUAAUACUUUCAGGACUCAAUUCUCUGUAGAGAUCAACUGCAGAAUUAACUUAGCGUGAUCGGUGGUCUUCUUUUUCUUACUUGUGAUCCGUUGGACUCGUGAAGCUAGAGCAACAGCGCUUUCGUGCCAAUGGCUGAUGGGCACAUGUUCAGUGAAUUCUGUGACACUGCCCAAUGGGAAGUCAUUGUCAAGUGGGGUGUUUGUCGAGAAGUGUAAAUAUUUGGAAGAGAGCAAAUGUCUUGGCAUUUGUAUCAACACGUGCAAACUGCCAACCCAGACCUUCUUCAAGGAUCACAUGGGCGUCGAUUUGUAUAUGGAGCCAAAUUUUGAAGACUAUAGCUGCCAGUUCAACUUUGGAGUGCCACCCCCACCUAUCGACACGGACAAGGCCUUGAAGGAACCCUGCUUGGACAUAUGCACAAAUGCGAGACGGCGCAGAGAGCUUGGCAGCAGCGGUGGCCCAGAUGGUCUAUGCCCCCAAGUUUAAUCUGCUGUUUCUGAAACCAGGCACAUUGGUAUGAUUCAGCAAUGGUGCUGCCCUGGCUUCACCUGGGGCUAUACUAGACUGAAGAUGGAUUUGUACGCGGGCUUUGCGGGCUGGGCCGCCUUCUUCCCUAGCUGAACUGUAUAGCAUGAUGUGCACAUACACGCCACAUGCUGCGUGCAUGGGUUUAAUUGGGAUGUAUGCAACCUACUAUAAUUAGAAUAACGAAGUUGAAUCUCGUAU